CUUUGCCUACGGGACGCAGCAGUAAGGGAUAUUGGUCAAUGGGGGAAACCCUGAACCAGCGACGCCGCGUGAGCGAUGAAGUAUUUCGGUAUGUAAAGCUCUAUCAGCAGGGAAGAAAAUGACGGUACCUGACUAAGAAGCCCCGGCUAACUACGUGCCAGCAGCCGCGGUAAUACGUAGGGGGCAAGCGUUAUCCGGAUUUACUGGGUGUAAAGGGCGUGCAGCCGGGAAGACAAGUCAGAUGUGAAAUCCCGCGGCUCAACCGCGGAACUGCAUUUGAAACUGUUUUUCUUGA
rnacentral:rRNA from 1 species